NCCCAGCUGACGAGUCCCAAAUAGGACGAAACGCGCAUCCUGGAU
rnacentral:hammerhead_ribozyme from 1 species